UGAAUGCUCUUGGGUGAUCAAAAUGCGCCU
rnacentral:piRNA from 1 species